AGGUAUGUGUAGUGCAGCCAAGAAUGACUUGCCGGUAAUGUUCUUAGUUCUUUGGCCCUAGAAAGUUGAUAGAUUCGGUUGCUUAAAGAUUUCACAUAUCAUGGACGGUCUCAACUUCCAUCAUCCGAAAAAAUUACGCGCUUUAGCGCUUUUUUUAAUUUAAUCAUAAUACUCGUGUUUUAUAAUGUGCAUUUACCGGCAAGUUGUCCUUGGCUACAUAUCUACCCGG
rnacentral:pre_miRNA from 2 species